GAUUAUCAAGUCUCUUGUGAAAUCUAAUGGCUUAACCAUUAAACUGCUUGGGAAACUGAUAGUCUAGAGUGAGGGAGAGGCAGAUGGAAUUGGUGGUGUAGGGGUAAAAUCCGUAGAUAUCACCAAGAAUACCCAUUGCGAAGGCGAUCUGCUGGAACUCAACUGACGCUAAGGCGCGAAAGCGUGGGGAGCAAACAGGAUUAGAUACCCUGGUAGUCCACGCCCUAAACGAUGUACACUAGUUGUUGGGGUGCUAGUCAUCUCAGUAAUGCAGCUAACGCAUUAAGUGUACCGCCUGGGGAGUACGGUCGCAAGAUUAAAACUCAAAGGAAUAGACGGGGACCCGCACAAGCGGUGGAGCAUGUGGUUUAAUUCGAAGAUACGCGAAGAACCUUACCUGGGCUUGAUAUCCUAAGAACCUUUUAGAGAUAAGAGGGUGCUAGCUUGCUAGAACUUAGAGACAGGUGCUGCACGGCUGUCGUCAGCUCGUGUCGUGAGAUGUUGGGUUAAGUCCCGCAACGAGCGCAACCCACGUAUUUAGUUGCUAACGGUUCGGCCGAGCACUCUAAAUAGACUGCCUUCGUAAGGAGGAGGAAGGUGUGGACGACGUCAAGUCAUCAUGGCCCUUAUGCCCAGGGCGACACACGUGCUACAAUGGCAUAUACAAUGAGACGCAAUACCGCGAGGUGGAGCAAAUCUAUAAAAUAUGUCCCAGUUCGGAUUGUUCUCUGCAACUCGAGAGCAUGAAGCCGGAAUCGCUAGUAAUCGUAGAUCAGCCAUGCUACGGUGAAUACGUUCCCGGGUCUUGUACUCACCGCCCGUCACACCAUGGGAGUUGAUUUCACUCGAAGCCGGAAUACUAAACUAGUUACCGUCCACAGUGGAAUCAGCGACUGGGGUGAAGUCGUAACAAGGUAACCGUAGGAGAACCUGCGGUUGGAUCACCUCCUUUCUA
rnacentral:rRNA from 1 species